rnacentral:rRNA from 1 species
UAGGGAAUAUUGCUUAAUGGGCGAAAGCCUGAAGCAGCAACGCCGCGUGUGUGAAGAAGGCCUUCGGGUUGUAAAGCACUUUUUGAGGGAAUGAGGAAGGACAGUACCCUCAGAAUAAGCCUCGGCUAACUACGUGCCAGCAGCCGCGGUAAAACGUAGGAGGCGAGCGUUAUCCGGAUUUACUGGGCGUAGAGCGCGUACAGGCGGCACGGCAAGUUGGAUGUGAAAGCUCCCGGCUUAACUGGGAGAGGUCGUUCAAAACUGCCGAGCUAGAGUGCGGGAGAGGGAGGUGGAGUUCCGGGUGUAGUGGUGAAAUGCGUAGAUAUCCGGAGGAACACCAGUGGCGAAAGCGGCCUCCUGGUCCGCAACUGACGCUCAGACGCGAAAGCUAGGGUAGCAAACGG